rnacentral:rRNA from 1 species
GUAAAAGUCGUAACAAGGUUUCCGUAGGUGAACCUGCGGAAGGAUCAUUACCUAGAGUUUGUAGACUUCGGUCUGCUACCUCUUACCCAUGUCUUUUGAGUACCUUCGUUUCCUCGGCGGGUCCGCCCGCCGAUUGGACAACAUUCAAACCCUUUGCAGUUGCAAUCGGCGUCUGAAAAAACAUAAUAGUUACAACUUUCAACAACGGAUCUCUUGGUUCUGGCAUCGAUGAAGAACGCAGCGAAAUGCGAUAAGUAGUGUGAAUUGCAGAAUUCAGUGAAUCAUCGAAUCUUUGAACGCACAUUGCGCCCCUUGGUAUUCCAUGGGGCAUGCCUGUUCGAGCGUCAUUUGUACCUUCAAGCUCUGCUUGGUGUUGGGUGUUUGUCUCGCCUCUGCGUGUAGACUCGCCUUAAAACAAUUGGCAGCCGGCGUAUUGAUUUCGGAGCGCAGUACAUCUCGCGCUUUGCACUCAUAACGACGACGUCCAAAAGUACAUUUUUACACUCUUGACCUCGGAUCAGGUAGGGAUACCCGCNNAACU